rnacentral:rRNA from 1 species
UACGUAGGGGUGCAAGCGUUGUCCGGAAUUACAUGGGGCGUUAAAGGGCGCGGUAGGCCGGCCGAGCAAAGUUCAGAUGUGAAAGUCCUGGGCUUAACCUGGGACUGCAUUUGAUACUGGCUUGGCUUGAAUUCGGGAGAGGAUAGCGGAAUUCCCAGUGAGAGGUGAAAUUCGUAGAUAUUGGGAAGAACACCGGUGGCGAAGGCGGCUAUCUGGACCGACAAUUGAACG